CUACGGGACGCUGCAGUGGGGAAUAUUGCACAAUGGAGGAAACUCUGAUGCAGCAACGCCGCGUGGAGGAUGACACUUUUCGGAGCGUAAACUCCUUUUAUAUAGGAAGAAGAUGACGGUACUAUAUGAAUAAGCGCCGGCUAACUCCGUGCCAGCAGCCGCGGUAAUAAAGAGGGCGCAAGCGUUACUCGGAAUCACUGGGCGUAAAGAGCGUGUAGGCGGAUUAAAAAGUCAGAAGUGAAAUCCUAUAGCUUAACUAUAGAACUGCUUCUGAAACUCUUAAUCUAGAAUAUGGGAGAGGUAGAUGGAAUUUCUGGUGUAGGGGUAAAAUCCGUAGAGAUCAGAAGGAAUACCGAUUGCGAAGGCGAUCUACUAGAACAUUAUUGACGCUGAGACGCGAAAGCGUGGGGAGCAAACAGGAUUAGAUACCCUCGUAGUC
rnacentral:rRNA from 1 species